CUGCCAGCAGCCUCACUCACUGGUGUCUCUGAGAACUGAGUCGUGUCCCAAGAUUGAUGAACAUAGGUGCUGGAUUCUCCUCCUGCUGCUGAUCAUCACUCAGGGCCCAGAAAGAAAUUUCAAGGAGGUGCAUGUGAAGACCAGUCCUCUCCUCCCACCAUGUGGAUCCUGGAAAUCAAACUCAGGACACCGGAGUGGUGUCUGUAGGGACUUGCUCUGUGAAGGCUGCUGGUACUCCCACACACCGCGGACACCACUGUGGGAACGGAACGUCAGACUUACAUAAAUAGAUGACAAAUGAAGGGAGCACAUGCCUUACAGUGACCUGUCUAUCGAUAAAUCAACACCACCACCACCCAGCAUGUCGUUUGCAAGGGCAGAAGGCAGAAUGGCUUCGGUUACAGCCAGAGGUUUGCUGGCUUUUCAUUUGUCACCUUUUCCUCAGGAUGGCAGAGUACUCUUUAUUUUGCGGAAGUCCUCACUGACCAGAUUCUGUCUCCACAGAACUUAGUCAGGAAGAACAGGUUCCACCAAGCAUCAGUCGAGACAAGGCCACCUUCUGAAUUCUCAUCCCAAAGCUGGCAGCCCUCUCUGCUGACUUUCUCUCCUCAGCUCAUCUGUCCCAUGCCUUCCUCCCCCAUCACCGUAAUUAUGGCUGAAUUACUUAGCAGCCCCAUUUUGAAUUGCAAUCCUGUACACCUGAGGAAAAAAGACAGACUCCAGGCCUGGGGUGGAAAGUAAUUCCUGCCUCAGGGUUGGCCUGGGUAGUCCUGAUUCGCUCAUUAAUCAAGGUUUCUCAAUCUCCGCUCGGUUGACACUUUAGCCCAGGCAAUUAUCCUCGGGCUCACCGAUGUAUGGCACAGUAGCUGCAGCCCCAGCCUUCAUGCGCUACACACUAAUAAUGUGACUCUGCUCUCCUCAGGCAGUAUAAAAAAUAUCUCUGCACACACUGCCAGCGUCCUCCAGAGAGGCAAAGAUCAUCCCUGCCUGAGGCCCCUGGGCCAGAAAGAAUAGGAUUCUCUCAUUAUUCUCCAGAACUUUCUGCCUGGUGCUCCGCGGGACUGGGAGUAUGUAAGUCAGUAAGCAGCUGCAGGCACUCGGCGCUAUGAGUUUUCCUCUUAGCACAGCUUUCAUUGUGUCCCAUAAGUUUGGGUAUGUUGUACCUUCAUUUUCAUUAAAUUCUAAAAAGUUUUUAAUUUCUUUCUUUAUUUCUUCGUUGACCGGGUUAUCAUUGAGUAGAGCAUUGUUCAAUUUCCACGUAUAUGUGGGCAUUCUUCCCUUAUUGUUAUUGAAGACCAGUUUUAGGCCGUGGUGGUCCGAUAGCACGCAUCGGAUUAUUUCUAUCUUUCUGUACCUGUUGAGGCCCGUUUUUUGACGAAUUAUAUGGUCAAUUUUGGAGAAAGUACCAUGAGGGGCUGAGAAGAAGGUAUAUCCUUUUGC
ensembl:lncRNA